UACGUAGGUGACAAGCGUUGUCCGGAAUCAUUGGGCGUAAAGCGCGCGUAGGCGGCCUCAUAAGUCCGUUGUGAAAGUCAAAGGCUACAACCUUGAAAGCCGAUGGAUACUGUGAGGCUAGAGUCCGGAAGAGGCGAGUGGAAUUCCUGGUGUAGCGGUGGAAUGCGCAGAUAUCAGGAGGAACACCAAUAGCGAAGGCAGCUCGCUGGGACGGUACUGACGCUAAGGCGCGAAAGCGUGGGGAGCGAACGAGGA
rnacentral:rRNA from 1 species